rnacentral:tRNA from 1 species
GUAGGUAUAGUUCAAUAAGAAUUUUAGAUUGUGAUUCUAAAGAUAGAGGUUGAAAUCCCCUUAYCCACC